rnacentral:rRNA from 1 species
AACGAGCGCUGGCGGCAUGCCUAACACAUGCAAGUCGAACGAGACCUUCGGGUCUAGUGGCGCACGGGUGCGUAACGCGUGGGAACCUGCCCUUAGGUUCGGAAUAACUCCCCGAAAGGGGUGCUAAUACCGGAUAAUGUCUUCGGACCAAAGAUUUAUCGCCUUUGGAUGGGCCCGCGUUGGAUUAGCUAGUUGGUAGGGUAAAGGCCUACCAAGGCGACGAUCCAUAGCUGGUCUGAGAGGAUGAUCAGCCACACUGGGACUGAGACACGGCCCAGACUCCUACGGGAGGCAGCAGUGGGGAAUAUUGGACAAUGGGCGAAAGCCUGAUCCAGCAAUGCCGCGUGAGUGAUGAAGGCCUUAGGGUUGUAAAGCUCUUUUACCCGGGAUGAUAAUGACAGUACCGGGAGAAUAAGCUCCGGCUAACUCCGUG